rnacentral:rRNA from 1 species
UACGUAGGGGGCAAGCGUUGUUCGGAAUUACUGGGCGUAAAGGGCGCGUAGGCGGCACGGCGAGUCAGGAGUGAAAGCCCUGGGCUCAACCCGGGAACUGCUUUUGAAACUGCCGAGCUAGAGUGCGGAAGGGGCAACUGGAAUUCCCAGUGUAGCGGUGAAAUGCGUAGAUAUUGGGAAGAACACCUGAGGCGAAGGCGGGUUGCUGGGCCGACACUGACGCUGAUGCGCGAAAGCCAGGGGAGCGAACGGG